rnacentral:rRNA from 1 species
UACGUAGGGGGCAAGCGUUGUCCGGAAUCAUUGGGCGUAAAGAGCGCGUAGGCGGCCCUGUAAGUCCGCUGUGAAAGUCAAGGGCUCAACCCUUGAAUGCCGGUGGAUACUGCAGGGCUAGAGUCCGGAAGAGGCGAGUGGAAUUCCUGGUGUAGCGGUGAAAUGCGCAGAUAUCAGGAGGAACACCAGUGGCGAAGGCGACUACCUGGCCUGUUUCUUGACGCUGAGGCGCGAAAGCUAGGGGAGCAAACGGG